GACGAACGCUGGCGGCGUGCUUAACACAUGCAAGUCGUACGGUAAGGCCCUUUCGGGGGUACACGAGUGGCGAACGGGUGAGUAACACGUGAGUAACCUGCCCACAACUUUGGGAUAACGCUAGGAAACUGGUGCUAAUACUGGAUAUGUGCUCCUGCUGCAUGGUGGGGGUUGGAAAGCUCCGGCGGUUGUGGAUGGACUCGCGGCCUAUCAGCUUGUUGGUGGGGUAGUGGCCUACCAAGGCGGCGACGGGUAGCCGGCCUGAGAGGGUGACCGGCCACAUUGGGACUGAGAUACGGCCCAGACUCCUACGGGAGGCAGCAGUGGGGAAUAUUGCACAAUGGGCGCAAGCCUGAUGCAGCAACGCCGCGUGCGGGAUGACGGCCUUCGGGUUGUAAACCGCUUUCAGCAGGGACGAAGCUUUUUGUGACGGUACCUGAAGAAGAAGCAACGGCUAACUACGU
rnacentral:rRNA from 1 species